GUGCUCGCUUUGGCAGCACAUAUACUAAAAUUGGAAUGAUACAGAGAAGAUUAGCAUGGCCCCUGCACAAGGAUGACAUGCAAAUUCGUGAAGCCUUCCAUAUUUAA
rnacentral:snRNA from 1 species